rnacentral:rRNA from 1 species
AAUUCGGCAGAUCGAAGGCCUUGAUCUUGGUGGGAGAAGCCGUUGAAGAAAGAUGAUAAGCGUUGCUGUGAGCGUGAUUAGGAGGGAAAGACGGCUCUCGUACUAUUGCGAUUGACGAAUCCUGAAGUCGGACCGUUCCGCCUCAGACAGUUCUUCGAAAGGUUUGUCGCUUCCGAUAAGGGCCUCGUUUAUUUUUGGAGCUUCAGAGAGGGUAGGAUAAUAAGGAAAAGAAUCCAUGAUAGCUUGAGCAGUGGAUGCUAAAGGCGCUUCAGAAACGGUCGUAAAAGGUACUUCGAAAGCUUUACGGUUGCCAGCAAGAAGUCCUUCCAUUUGAACUCGCAAGUCUUGCUGAUGGCGUGCAAGGUUUUCUUGUAGACGUUGUUGCCGAUGCUGGAGUCCUUGAGUUGGAAAGAGGUAAGUACAAUACUUAGAGGAGGGCUGAUAUCUUAUUAUCCUAAGGGGAGUGCUAAAGGCGAAGGCCACUUACUAUUAACAACUGACGGURAGGUACGAAGGUUGGGGUAUAGAUACAGAUUAGAUACCUGAGUAUUCCCAACAGUAAACGAUGUAGAUUAGAGAUUGGCAAAGGCCAGUUUCAUAGCAAACGCAUUAAAUCUACCACCUGUAGAGUAUAGUCGCAAGGCUGAAAUACAAAUAAUUAGACGGCCUGAGAGCAAACGGAGUGAAGCAUGUUAUUUAAUACGAUGAUCCGCGUAGAAUCUUACCAGUCCUUGAAUGUAAUGUAUGUUACACAGGUGUUGCAUGGUUGUCGUCAGUUCGYGCUGUUAAGCGUAUGGUUAACUCCGAUAAACGAACGCAAUCCUCACCAUAAAUUUAUUUUUGUGGUUUAACUUCGACAAGAAGCUCGAGGACUAUGACAAACCCUCAUGGCCCUUAUGGACUGGGCUAUAGACGUGCCACAAGAUCCUUAUACAAAAUGAUGCUAUAGUGAGAGCAAUAGCCAAUCAUCAAMACAGGAUAAUGUACGAAUUGCGAACUGGAACUUGUUCACAUGAAGUAGGAAUUCCGAGUAAUCGUUUAUAACCACGAAGCGGUGAAUAUUAUCUCUUGGGUGUACUAACUGCUCGUCAUGGGACGGGAAGACAAUUAUUAUGAAGUAGGAGAGGUCUAUAUGGUCUUUGUUGCGAGUAGUACUGUCUGACUGUUCUAAAGUCGAAACAAUGUAGCAGUAGGGUAACCUGUUGCUG